ACGAACAGAACACACCAGCAUUUGGCAAUGACCAUAAGAUCAACCCUUGAUGCAAUGAUAUACUUGUGGCGAACUUGCAAUCAAGAAUUGGACCAGCAUGUCAAUGGACCUCUUGUAGUCUUGUAUACAUACAUAUAUUGCAUAGUCCAAAACGGAUGAACACCAGCUGAGGUCCAACAUUUGCCACAGGUUGGCAUUGACUGUUACACAUGUCACAAAGGUAAUCACAAAAUUCCGGGUACAAUUGAUCCUCUCCUGAUGCGGCGCCGGUCACAAAGAGCAAAACGGUAAAACAAAUGGAACAGCACAAUACAUAUGAGCAAAUACAUAUCACUUUCUAUCUAGCCAGUUUCCUCCACACGGUGCGACCACGGUUGAUCUCGUCCCCAGCCCC
rnacentral:lncRNA from 1 species